rnacentral:lncRNA from 1 species
CCAAUGUGCCCUUAUCCCAUAGGUACCACACUGUGCCCUUAUCCCAUAGGUACCCACUGUGCCCUUAUCCCAUAGGUACCCACUGUGCCCUUAUCCCAUAUGUACCACACUGUGCCCUUAUCCCAUAGGUCCCCACACUGUGCCCUUAUCCCAUAGGACCCCAUACCAUCCCCUUAUCCCAUAGGACCCCAUACCAUCCCCUUAUCCCACAGGUCCCCAAACUGUCCCCUAUAUCCCAUAGGUCCCCACACUGUCCCCUAUAUCCCAUAGGGCCCCACACUGUGCCCUUAUCCCAUAGGUCCCCAUACUGUGCCCUUAUCCCAUAGGACCCCAUACCAUCCCCUAUAUCCCAUAGGGCCCCACACUGUGCCCUUAUCCCAUAGGUCCCCACACCGUCCCCUUAUCCCAUAGGUCCCCACACUGUCCCCUAUAUCCCACAGGUCCCCAAACUGUCCCCUAUAUCCCAUAGGUCCCCACACUGUCCCCUAUAUCCCAUAGGUCCCCACACCGAACCCUUAUCCCA